UGUCACGCCCCGCCCCGAAACCACUACCAAUUUGGCACGGCUCGGCCGCGGCGGCGGACCGCCGAACGGACAGCACCUCCCUUGUCCGCCCAAGGCUCAACGACAGGAAUGUGUACAAAAAUUUACCCAGGACUUUAAAUUCUAAUAUACACAUUCAACGAGGGCACAAACAGUGCCAACAACAAGAAGAGCAAGUAAACCACAAGAUAUACGAGUGAAAUAAAG
rnacentral:lncRNA from 1 species